rnacentral:misc_RNA from 1 species
AUGAAUUUAAAUGAUAAGGUUGUUGCUGGCCUUCUGGGCAUGUGCACACCUCGUCUAUUCAUCCACACACCUUUGUGCACUUCUCAUAGAUUGGCUCAUUAAAAAGGUUGCUUGACGGUGGCCUGGGUCUCUCUAUGUUUUUUAUUUAUUACAAACAUAAUGUCAGUCUUUUGAAUGUAAAUUUUGCGAUUAUCGCAUUUAAAUA